rnacentral:rRNA from 1 species
AGUGAACGCUGGCGGUAGGCCUAACACAUGCAAGUCGAACGGCAGCACAGAGGAGCUUGCUCCUUGGGUGGCGAGUGGCGGACGGGUGAGGAAUACAUCGGAAUCUACUCUGUCGUGGGGGAUAACGUAGGGAAACUUACGCUAAUACCGCAUACGACCUACGGGUGAAAGCAGGGGAUCUUCGGACCUUGCGCGAUUGAAUGAGCCGAUGUCGGAUUAGCUAGUUGGCGGGGUAAAGGCCCACCAAGGCGACGAUCCGUAGCUGGUCUGAGAGGAUGGUGAGGCACACUGGAGCUGAGACACGGUCCAGACUCCUACGGGAGGCAGCAGUGGGGAAUAUUGGACAAUGGGCGCAAGCCUGAUCCAGCCAUAGCGCGUGGGUGAAGAAGGCCUUCGGGUUGUAAAGCCCUUUUGUUGGGAAAGAAAUCCAUCUGGUUAAUACCCGGGUGGGAUGACGGUACCCAAAGAAUAAGCACCGGCUAACUUCGUGCCAGCCGCCGCCGUAA